AGAAGGGGAUGGAGGAGGAGGGGAGGGAGGAGGAGGGGAGGGAGGAGGAGGGGAGGGAGGAGGAGGCAUAAGAAGCAAAAGGCAGCACGGGCACCCACAGCAAGCACUUGACUCAUGAAGCCACCCCACCCCAAAACAUUCUCUAGCAAGUGCCAUUGUGCAGACUGUGAGAGGAAGUGGGGACAGCCUGGGUGCCCAAGGCUAAGGUUUGGAGCCGCAGGAACUUUCCGGAAGCAAACAGGGAGAGCCUCUAGGCAUCUGGCAUCCCACAAAGCUGCCUGGCUCCUCUGACCACCCUGUCACUCUCCAGGCACACACCACUGUGGUCCUCGAUGUUUGUAUUCUCUACCUUUCAUGGGUGUCCUGUUGCUCAGGGACUCCUCCCUCAUGUAUUCUUUUUUAAGAAAACCAAAAUAAAAAAAAAAAACAAGCCUCGGUGUUUCCAGCUUAGGACAUUACACUGAAGAAAUAAAUGUUUUUUGAGCACUUACUGCCAAAAAUAAAAAUAACUCCAGAAUUUUCCUUCUCAUUCUCUACAAAGAAGUCAGCCUGCUGGCAAGGAUAUCUGGGAAUUGUUAUCGACGCAGCUGCCAAGUAUGCAGUACACACGGGCUUGUCUGUACCACAGCCAGCCACUCCACCACGGUCUUCUCUGGAUCUCCAAUCAAUAGGCCGGACCCAGGGUGGAAUUCUGGGAGGCAACAUUGCCUGGAAGAGGGUAAAGCCACUGGGAAAAAAAAAAUCUGCCUUCCUGGACCCAUUCCACUUCCACCAAUCAUGGGUUCCUGUUCCUCCGUCACUGAACCUUUCCCCCUAUGGAAGUCAAAGUUAAGGGGAAGGUCUGAGCCAAUCAGGGGAGGAAGAGCUAAGAGAGCUCUGCUUUAGGAGGAAGAGUCACCAGUGCCCUAGGGGACUAGACAUAAGGUCAGGUAGCAGAAGGCUUUAGACAGCCAGCUCCUACAUGCUCGACGAGGUAUCCUGACCAUCCGUCCCCUCUCCAUUUAUUUCUGUGAGACUUUGUACAAAAGGGGGAAGAACACAAACAAGAAACAAAAAAAUCGCAUGGUAAACCUCAACAUAUACACUUGCAGACAGAGAACACCAGAAAAUGGCCCAAAACCCACUUACAAGGAAUCAGAGAUAACACAAAGUCUUGACCUCUCAGAACCAGUGGCUGUGUAGUUCCUCCCACCUGCUCAGCCAUUUCCAGUGCUACCCAGUCGGCUGCCAUGAAACAUCAGAGGGCAAAAGAAGAGUCCCUAAGGCAUAGUACCAUCCCUCAGAGAAGGGGUGGUGGGAGGGGGAGUCUCUUAAGUUUCAUGAGUUGGUCACAUGCAUUCUGGGGGUGUCUGAGAUGCCUGCCUAUCAGUCGUUCUGAGGAGACGGCGGCCGGUUUUCACUAAGGCCAGAGCAGCACUAGAGAAUGUGUACCUGUGUGCUUUCACUUCCUCCGAGGGAAAGGCCACCAACCCCUGGAGAAAGACAAAGUGAGGCCCCCGACUCCCAGCAACUGGUUUCCUGUCAGAAAGUCUGAGCCUGAGAGACCUAAGGCCUGGCUGGCUGAGCCCGCCCCAAAUAGACCUUCCUGUGUAUUUCCACAGACACUGGCACAGAGCUGCAGGUGACAAGAGAGGGUAAAGACUUGGCCAGCACUUGCCACGGUUUUCAACAACUCAAACAGAAGCCCACUAAUGAUGGCUGCUGAGUCUUUCAUUAGGUUGUUCCCAAUGGGGAGACAAGAAUUAAGAACCAAAGCGGGGAGAAAAGAAACAUUCACUCCAGAACUGGCCCUUCCCACACACCCUUUCCUGUGCAAUGGGCAAAACUGGCACUUCCUCCCAGUCAUGGGGAAAGCUCUGCUAUUCUAGCUCCUUGCCUACUCCUUCCCAAACAUCCCUGAGGGUGCCCAUCCAUGUGUUAGAUAUCAGAUAAAGUGAGGGUGCCCAUCCAUGUGUUAGAUAUCAGAUAAAGUGAGGGUGCCCAUCCAUGUGUUAGAUAUCAGAUAAAGUGAACGAGAGAAAGAGCCAGGCUCACCAGGGAGCAAGAAGAGAAGCAGGAGGCAGGCCAUCACAUAAACUGUGGGUUACAAACAAAAACGCUUUCUCUGAGGAGAAGUUCUCAGGUACCUGAGCAGGGUACACCCUAGAACUUGAGAGUACACCCUAGAACUGAAAAGCAGGGACUCCUAUACCUUAAAAGAACCUGAGUACUCUGUAGACCUCUUUGAACUGUAUUCUGUACAGCAUUUCUUUUUCUUAAUACAUUAUUAAAGGGUUUUUUUUUCUUUUUAUGCAGAGCAAAGUCCUACAGAGUUCAAUGAGGCCUGUUUAUAAAAAUAAAAACCCAGGGGGCAUCAAUAUUAAUACAGUGAAGCUAAAAAAGAUAUUGAAUAAGCAUGGUGGAGUUCAAAAACAAUGACUAAUUCAAUCCAAGCAACUAGGUCAUGCUCAGAUUCCAGUAAUUGUAAAAUUUAGAUAUAAUAAGGCAAGAACUUUGCUCCGCUUCAGUAGUCAAAAUGAAGAGCCCAUUCAAGGGCAAGUGCUUGUGGUCCGGACCCAGCAGGAGAGCUAGGACAUCUGAGUACAGGAAGCAAGCCAAGGCAGGCUCACCAUCCGUGUGAUUGGAUCUCAUCCACGAGAAAUUUUAAACCCAUGGUUGCUGGCCAAGGAUCUCCAAAAUUAAAGCAAGAGAACUCCAGCUCGGCUUCAUUCAGCCAGCUAAGCAGCUCUCGACAGAGAAUGGAGUUGAGCAAGAUCAGAAUGGGUUUUCCAUAUAAGAACACUUUAAAAAUUUUUAAUGGGAUGGAUGCUUCAGCUGAAUGGUACCAGGCAACAUGGGAAAUGGCACUCAAUGUCCCAAGGGGAGACAAAAACAAAAAAACAAAAAAAAACAUAAAAUAAUCAGUUUUUAAACCAUUGUAUGUAAAAUUGUGGGUUUACAAGAGAACCUGAAACUUUAAUGAAGUGUAAAAGGAAGUCUCCAAUUUUCUGUCCCUAAGAAGUGAAUGACUCCAUAGAAAGACAGAAAGCUACCCAAAGACUAAAGCUUCUACGAAGCUGAAACAUGUCUUAAUCACCAAGGGUAUGUCCUCUCAUAACCGAACACCCAAUCUGCCAUUUCUCCCUCGUGUCAUUGAGAUUUACUACUCGUAGUUCUUAGCAGACCUUUCAGGAUUAUGACACUUACGAAUAAAGGCUGGGAACCCCAGAAAAAAAGAUGAGCGAAAAA